rnacentral:rRNA from 1 species
GGCGACGGGUGAGUAAUGUAUGAGCAACCUGCCUUUCGAGAGGGGGACAACAGUUGGAAACGACUGCUAAUACCGCAUAAUGUACCAGGGGGCAUCCCUUUGGUACCAAGGAGCAAUCCGCUGAAAGAUGGGCUCAUAUCUGAUUAGCUAGUUGGUGAGGUAACGGCUCACCAAGGCUGCGAUCAGUAGCCGGACUGAGAGGUUUGAACGGCCACAUUGGGACUGAGAUACGGCCCAGACUCCUACGGGAGGCAGCAGUGGGGAAUAUUGGGCAAUGGGCGAAAGCCUGACCCAGCAACGCCGCGUGAAGGAAGAAGGUCUUCGGAUUGUAAACUUCUUUUAUGAGGGACGAAGAACGUGACGGUACCUCAUGAAUAAGCCACGGCUAACUACGUG